UGUCCUCCCCAGGAGCUCUUCAAGAAAGUGAUGCCCCACGACUUCCUGGACUCCAUCUGGUCCCAGUGUGACAAAAGGGGCAAUGAACACCUGACACCCACCAUCCAUGCCACCACGACCCACUUUAACAGAGUGGUCGAAUGUGUCGUCACCACCUGCAUUGGGGACCCGAGCAUGACGGCCUAGGACAGGGCCAGGGUGGUGGAGCUCUGGAUCCAGGUGGCCAAGGAAGAACUGUACAAAACUUAAAAAAUUGAUGAAAACAAGCCAGCGGGAGAGCAGGAAGCUGCUCAAGGAGGAGGUGACCUCUGUGUGGGCCACCUUAGAGAUGGAUCCCCAAGGAGCCCAGGAGAGGCAGCAGCAGCAGGGUGUCAUCCCCUUCCUGGGC